rnacentral:rRNA from 1 species
GAUGAACGCUGGCGGCGUGCCUAAUACAUGCAAGUCGAGCGAACAGACGAGUAGCUUGCUCCUCUGACGUUAGCGGCGGAAGGGUGAGUAACACGUGGAUAACCUACCUAUAAGACUGGGAUAACUUCGGGAAACCGGAGCUAAUACCGGAUAAUAUAUUGAACCGCAUGGUUCAAUAGUGAAAGACGGUUUUGCUGUCACUUAUAGAUGUAUCCGCGCCGCAUUAGCUAGUUGGUAAGGUAACGGCUUACCAAGGCAACGAUGCGUAGCCGACCUGAGAGGGUGAUGGGCCACACUGGAACUGAGACACGGUACAGACUCCGACGGGAGGCAGCAGUAGGGAAUCGUCCGCAAUGGGCGAAAGCCUGACGGAGCAACGCAGCGUGAGUGAUGAAGGUCUUCGGAUCGUAAAACUCUGUUAUUAGGGAAGAACAAAUGUGUAAGUAACUAUGCACGUCUUGACGGUACCUAAUCAGAAAGCCACGGCUAACUACGUG